CCUACGGGAGGCAGCAGUGGGGAAUUUUGGACAAUGGGCGCAAGCCUGAUCCAGCAAUGCCGCGUGAGUGAAGAAGGCCUUCGGGUUGUAAAGCUCUUUUGUCAGGGAAGAAACGGGUCUUUCUAAUACAGAGGUCUAAUGACGGUACCUGAAGAAUAAGCACCGGCUAACUACGUGCCAGCAGCCGCGGUAAUACGUAGGGUGCAAGCGUUAAUCGGAAUUACUGGGCGUAAAGCGUGCGCAGGCGGUUUUGUAAGUUUGUCGUGAAAUCCCCGGGCUCAACCUGGGAAUGGCGAUGAAGACUGCAAGGCUAGAGUUUGGCAGAGGGGGGUAGAAUUCCACGUGUAGCAGUGAAAUGCGUAGAUAUGUGGAGGAACACCGAUGGCGAAGGCAGCCCCCUGGGUCAAAACUGACGCUCAUGCACGAAAGCGUGGGGAGCAAACAGGAUUAGAUACCCUGGUAGUCCACGCCCUAAACGAUGUCUACUAGUUGUCGGGUCUUAAUUGACUUGGUAACGCAGCUAACGCGUGAAGUAGACCGCCUGGGGAUACGGUCGCAAGAUUAAAACUCAAAUGAAUUGACGG
rnacentral:rRNA from 1 species